GCGCUGGCUUCUGCAGCGCAUAUACUAAAACUGGAAUGACACAAAGGUUUGCCUGACCCCUCUGCAAGGAUGACAUGCAAAUUCGUGAUGGCUUCCAUAUUUUG